GUCUGCGGUGCAUUGGCGAUUCUCUCAGAUCGCAUCUUUGAUAAUUCACACUGAGUAAUUGUCACUCGCGUGAAUGAGCACCGAUUUGCCUC